GCUGGGCGUGGUGGCGUGCGCCUGUAAUCCCAGCUACUCAGAAGGCUGAGGCAGAGGAAUCACUUGAACCCGGGAGGCAGAGGUUGCAGUGAGCCAAGAUCACGCCACUGCACUCUAGCCUGGGCAACAGAGUGAGACUCCGUCUCAG
rnacentral:SRP_RNA from 1 species